CAAUAUAAACCAUUUAGUUACCAGCAUGAUCAUAUAGUAUUUCUUAAUUUUUCAGUCAUUGAUAUCAUAAAUUUGUGAUUUUUUUUGAGCUAAAUCUUCCACUAGGUUCCACUAGAACUGUCUUUUUCUUGUCUUUCAUGAGUAGCCUGCGCAGGUAGUGGAUGUCCAGGUGUAGUCUCUCCCUGAAUCCCCCCCCCCCCCCCCCCCCCCCCGGUCUGUCCUCAAGGAGCCCCUCUCUUCCCCCGGGGAUGCCAAGUGACACACUCUUUGCGGCAGCAGCGCUCCCCUACUGCCGCAAAAGCAGCAACCGGCACAACAACCAGCCCCUCCUCAUCUAUGUUGUGACAUGUCACAUUGUGCUCAAGUUUCAGAACAGCCACCUUCUGACAUUUCAGUCCAGACUUUGUUGAGGGUUCUGAGGAAUAUUUGAUAAGCAGACCUGUCACUUCUAUCUUUCUUCACUUGGAUACAAAAUCGUCCUUGAAUUGAGUGUUAUUGUUUGAUUGUUAUCUAACAAUGUUUUGGCUUACAAGUUUCAGGACGAUCGCCUUCUGACAUUCAAUCCAGACUUUGUGGAGGGUUCUGAAGAAUAAUUGAUUAGCGGGCUUGUCACUUGUAGCAUUCUUCACUUACAAGAUCGUCCAUGAAUUAGUCUAAUAGUUUGAAUGUUAUCUAACAAUCUUUUGGCUUACAAGUUUCAGGAGACCGCUUUCUGUCAUUCAAUCCAGACUUUGUGGAGGGUUCUGAAGAAUAAUUGAUUAGCGGGCUUGUCACUUGUAGCAUUCUUCACUUACAAGAUCGUCCAUGAAUUAGUCUAAUAGUUUGAAUGUUAUCUAACAAUCUUUUGGCUUACAAGUUUCAGGAGACCGCUUUCUGUCAUUCAAUCCAGACUUUGUGGAGGGUUCUGAAGAAUAAUUGAUUAGCAGGCUUGUCACUUGUAGCAUUCUUCACUUUAUACAAAUUCGUCCUUGAAUUGAGUCUUAUUGUUUGAUUGUUAUCUAACAAUCUUGUGGCUUACAAGUUUCAUGACGACCGCCUUCUGAAAUUUCAAUCCAGACUUUCUUAAGGGUUUGAAGAAUAAUUGAUAAGCGGGCCUGUCACUUGUAGCAUUCUUCACUUACAAUAUCGUCCUUGAAUGCAGUCUAAUAGUUUGAGUGUUAUCUAUCUUUUGGCUUUCAAGUUUCAGGAUGACCACCUUCUGUUAUUUCUAAGAUUGUAAAUUGUUUUAAAUGACACUCCUAAUUUUCCAAACAAAGGGUAAUUUUUUAAUAAAUUUGAUAUCAGACGUAUGUUGUUAGCGUAAGCUUGUUGAAUCCCUACAGUUUGUUUACGCCACUUCUCCCUUGGGCUUUACUGGCAUGAUUUCACCAGUUGGACCACUUUCUUCCAAAUCACCAAGACAUGUCAACAUUUCUUGGUAAUAUUUUGUGUGUGAAUGUAUAAUUUUUAAGUCAUCUUGACUCCAUUGAUAACAACAUUGUGUUUCUUUAUCGACUUUCUCAGCAUAAGCUUGUUGAAUCCCUACAGUUUGUGUACGCCACUUCUUCCAGGAUUUUGCUGGCUUUUCACGGCUAUGAAAGUUAUGAGCAGCAUCGAAGUCUUAAAAUCCAUGAGUUCAUCAUAUUCCUUGGUCGCUAAAGAAUUGAGUACUUGCCUUGUUUGGUGACAGUGUCUUCGUUUUUGGCAACACUUUUGUCUGUCUGCGUUGAUGAAUGUGCCUGUCACUUGUAGUCAUUCUUCAUAAGAUCUUCCUUGACUUGAGUCUUAUCUUUUGUGCUUCAUCUAAGAAUCUUGUUUCUUACAAGUUUCAGGACAACCAUCUUCCGACAUUUGAGUCCAAAUUUUCUUGUGGGUUCUGAUAUGUGUUUGUCUUUUCUCUGUGUUUUGCUCUGUUUUUGCUUUUUCCUUUUCUUGGUUUGUUACUAUUUUUUAUGUUUCUUCAGAAUAGAAUAAACACCAAUACAUUCUUGUGCUCCCAAAGGGUAAUUUUUAAAUAAAUUUGAUAUCAGACGUAUGUUAUUGGCAUAAGCUCGUUGAAUCCCUACAGUUUGUUUACGCCACUUCUUCCAGGAUUUUGCUGGCUUUUCACGGCUAUGAAAGUUAUGAGCAGCAUCGAGCCUUAUGCUUCCCAAUCCCCUCAUAGCUACAACUUGUCUAAAUUUUGAGCAGCUUCCCUUCAGGUUUAUAUACUAGCUGAAUUUCUAACUAAAGGAAAGCUGAUUGCCUGAGAGGAGUGUACCUUACUCAGCAGAUGCCUGUGUAGGUCAUUGCCAGUAAGUUUAGAUUUUGAUUUGGUUUUACCCAAAAGAGAGUUUACAACGUGUUUCUUACUCAGCAGAUGCUUAGGUCAUCGCUGGUAAGUUUGGACUUUGAUUUGGUUUUACCCAGGAGAGAGGGUAGAUCUGCCUUGGGUUUUACUGGCACGAUUUUACCAGUUGAACCACUUUCUUCUAAAUCACCAAGACAUGUCAACAUUUCUUGGUAAUAUUUUUUGUGUGAAUGUAUAAUUUUUGAAUCAUCUUGACUCAUUGAUAAGAACAUUGUGUUUCUUAAUCGACUGUCUCAGCAUAAGCUUGUUGAAUCCCUACAGUUUGUUUACGCCACUUCUUGUAGGAUUUUGCUGCCAUGGCUUUUCACGGCUAUGAAAGUUAUGAGCAGCAUCGAAGUCUUAAAAUCCAUGAGUUCAUCAUAUUCCAUGUUUGCUAAAGAACUGAGUACUUGCCUUGUUUGGUGACAGUGUCUUCGUUUUUGGCAACACUUUCGUCUGUCUGCGUUGAUGAAUGUGCCUGUCACUUGUAGUCAUUCUUCAUAAGAUCUUCCUUGACUUGAGUCUUAUCUUUUGUGUUUCAUCUAAGAAUCUUGUUUCUUACAAGUUUCAGGACAACCGUCUUUCGACAUUUGAGUCCAAAUUUUCUUGUGGGUUCUAAUAUGUGUUUAUCUUUUUCUGUGUUGUGCUUUGCUUUUGCUUUUGCCUUUUCCCAGUUUUAUUACCAUUUUAUUAAUGUUUCAUCGUAAUAGAAUAAACACCAAUACAUUCUUGUGCUCCCUGAAGCGCAGUUGUGAUUGGUGAGGUUUGUGAUGCCUCUCUCAAUCCGAAGUACCCUGAUGAGGGUUCCGAAAAAUGAACCUCGCAGACCGUACGUUCUUGUGCUCCCUGAAGCGCAGUUGUGAUUGGUGAGGUUUGUGAUGCCUCUCUCAAUUCGAAGUACCUUCUAUGAGGGUUUCGAAGAAUGAACCUCACAGACCGUACGUUCUUGUGCUCCCUGAAGUGCAGUUGUGAUUGGUGAGGUUUGUGAUGCCUCUCUCAAUUCGAAGUACCUUCUAUGAGGGUUUCGAAGAAUGAACCUCGCAGACCGUACGUUCUUGUGCUCCCUGAAGCGCAGUUGUGAUUGGUGAGGUUUGUGAUGCCUUCUUUAAAUCCGAAGUACCUUCAUCAAUGAGGGUUCUGAAGAAUGAACCUCGCAGACCGUACGUUCUUGCGCUCCCUGAAGCACAGCUGUUUUUCUUGAGGUUGUAAUGCCACUCUCCAGCUGCAAAAGCUUUUUUUAAAGCUGAGAGGGAUGAGCUACGUGCCCUAGUUGGGAAAAAUUCCUCACUUACAAGAUUGGCCUUGAAUUUAGAGUAUUUGUGCUCAAUCCUAGAAUCUUGUGGCUUACAAGUUUCAGAAAAAGCGCGAAAAAGCACCUUCUGACAUUUUGAAUCCAGACUUUGUUGAAACAAACUUGGAAAAUGAACAUGUAUUAAAGGUGAUCUACGCCAUUCGCAAAUAUAAACAAUACCUACCACAUUAUUAUAAAAUACCUUACUUGACUGUAAGCAUCUUGUAAAGUCAUGGCACCCGGUUGCGUCAUUGUCAAGAAAAGUAAAUUUUUUAAAUCCAUUUCCAACAAUGUUUGGCUGACCAUCGUAGGAAAACUGACCUUUUUUUAAUAUACUGCCCCCAAUUUACGUAAUUUAGUUAGUCCACAUUUUGUUUGCAUUGGUUACGAAUCCAUAACUGGGUGCAAGCGAGCUAGUCUGGUUCCCUGCCCUGACAAUUCCCUGACAUCUAUAAAUUGAUCCGUUUCGUCUGAAGUAGGGUCAGGGAACCAGACUACAAGAACGUUUUUUUUUUCUUGGUUUUUUUCUAAUCCAUUUCUAAAAAUUACAGCAAAAGGUUAAUGUUGUACAUGUAUAUUACCUUUAAAACGGCAUAGCAGGUAAUAUGAUUAAUACACUCAGAUGAAAAGUUUGUUAACCACAUUGCUAAAAAAACUUUUCCAUGUGGACAAAAUAGUAUUCAGUGAAACUUCGUGUGAGAAAAAGGAUUUACAUAUAUUUAUUUAUUAGAUAGUUUUUUCUUUUUCUUUUUGUCUUUACGUUUUUCAUGUUUAACCUGCCAGCAGUAAAAAUGUAUGUGAAUUUAAAACCAUCUUGUCCUAUAGCAAUUUGCAUGGUACUUGUAUGGUUUUUUUUUCAUUUGUCUAAAUUUAUGACAAUAAAGAUAUUUCGGAAAACAA